AGAGUUUGAUCAUGGCUCAGAACGAACGCUGGCGGCAGGCCUAAUACAUGCAAGUCGCACGGGAAGCCCCCUUCGGGGGGUGGAGAGUGGCGCACGGGUGAGUAACGCGUGGGAACCUAUCCCGGGGUGGGGGAUAACCACUGGAAACGGUGGCUAAUACCGCACGAUCCCUGAGGGGCAAAGCAGCGAUGCGCCCUGGGAGGGGCCCGCGUCCGAUUAGCUAGUUGGCGGGGUAAGAGCCCACCAAGGCGGUGAUCGGUAGCUGGUCUGAGAGGAUGAUCAGCCACACUGGGACUGAGACACGGCCCAGACUCCUACGGGAGGCAGCAGUAGGGAAUAUUGGACAAUGGGCGCAAGCCUGAUCCAGCCAUGCCGCGUGAGUGAUGAAGGCCUUAGGGUUGUAAAGCUCUUUCGCACGCGAGGAUGAUGACGGUAGCGUGAGAAGAAGCCCCGGCUAACUUCGUGCCAGCAGCCGCGGUAAUACGAAGGGGGCUAGCGUUGUUCGGAAUUACUGGGCGUAAAGGGCGCGUAGGCGGUCGAUCGCGUUGGGUGUGAAAGCCCCGGGCUCAACCUGGGAUGUGCGCCCGAAACGGGUCGGCUGGAGAUCGGAAGAGGAGAGUGGAAUUCCCAGUGUAGAGGUGAAAUUCGUAGAUAUUGGGAAGAACACCGGUGGCGAAGGCGGCUCUCUGGUCCGAUUCUGACGCUGAGGCGCGAAAGCGUGGGGAGCAAACUGGAUUAGAUACCCUGGUAGUCCACGCUGUAAACGAUGCGUGCUAGACGUUGGGAGGCCUAACCUCUCGGUGUCGCAGUCAACACGUUAAGCACGCCGCCUGGGGAGUACGGCCGCAAGGUUAAAACUCAAAGGAAUUGACGGGGCCCGCACAAGCGU
rnacentral:rRNA from 1 species